AUUGAACGCUGGCGGCAUGCUUUACACAUGCAAGUCGAACGGUAACAGGGUGCUUGCACCGCUGACGAGUGGCGAACGGGUGAGUAAUACAUCGGAAUGUACCCAGUAAUGGGGGAUAACGCUUCGAAAGGAGUGCUAAUACCGCAUACGCCCUGAGGGGGAAAGUGGGGGACCGCAAGGCCUCACGUUAUUGGAGCAGCCGAUGGCUGAUUAGCUAGUUGGUGAGGUAAAGGCUCACCAAGGCGACGAUCAGUAGCGGGUCUUAGAGGACGAUCCGCCACACUGGAACUGAGACACGGUCCAGACUCCUACGGGAGACAGCAGUGGGGAAUUUUGGACAAUGGGCGCAAGCCUGAUCCAGCCAUGCCGCGUGCGGGAAGAAGGCCUUCGGGUUGUAAACCGCUUUUGUCAGGGAAGAAAUACUCUGGGCUAAUACCCUGGGGUGAUGACGGUACCUGAAGAAUAAGCACCGGCUAACUACGUGCCAGCAGCCGCCGUAACAC
rnacentral:rRNA from 1 species